rnacentral:lncRNA from 1 species
AGCUGGAGUUGUGAGCGUACUCCUCUCCCUGACGCCAACGCGAGUGGCUCCCAGGUUGGGAAGGAGAGGGAAGCAGCAGUCAAGCCGGGGAUGAGGCACAGUGUCCCCCGCAACUGAAAAAUCCGCGUCCACUUAGGACCGGGCUGAAAUUGCUGGAGGACUUGCAACUGCCCGUAGGGCCAUUUGGCCCAUCUUCCCUACUGCAGCAAGCCAUAAAGGUUCUUUCGGGAGGGCCACCCACCUCAUGCUGAGGCUGGAUAAGAGGG